rnacentral:rRNA from 1 species
GACGAACGCUGGCGGCGUGCUUAACACAUGCAAGUCGAACGGAGUUAAGGAGCUUGCUUCUUAACUUAGUGGCGAACGGGUGAGUAACGCGUGAGGAACCUGCCUCUCAGUGGGGGACAACAGUUGGAAACGACUGCUAAUACCGCAUAAUGUUAUUGAACGGCAUCGUUUGAUAACCAAAGAUUUAUUGCUGAGAGAUGGCCUCGCGUCUGAUUAGCUAGUUGGUGGGGUAACGGCCCACCAAGGCGACGAUCAGUAGCCGGACUGAGAGGUUGACCGGCCACAUUGGGACUGAGAUACGGCCCAGACUCCUACGGGAGGCAGCAGUGGGGAAUAUUGGGCAAUGGGCGAAAGCCUGACCCAGCAACGCCGCGUGAAGGAAGAAGGCCUUCGGGUUGUAAACUUCUUUUACCAGGGACGAACACAAUGACGGUACCUGGAGAAAAAGCAACGGCUAACUACGUGCCAGCCGCCGCAGUAAGAC